rnacentral:rRNA from 1 species
GAACCGUCCAAACGUUAUUCGGAAUCAUUGGGCUUAAAGGGUGCGUAGGCGGUGCGGUCAGUUGGGUGUGGAAUCCCUCGGCUCAACCGAGGAACUGCGCCCAAUACUGCCGUACUCGAGGGAGACAGAGGUAAGCGGAACUGAUGGUGGAGCGGUGAAAUGCGUUGAUAUCAUCAGGAACACCAGUGGCGAAGGCGGCUUACUGGGUCUCUUCUGACGCUGAGGCACGAAAGCUAGGGGAGCGAACGGGGGAUUAGAUACCCCGGUAGUCCUAGCUGUAAACGAUGAGCACUUGAUCGGAGACUCCUCCAUAGGUUUCCGGUCGUAGCGAAAGUGUUAAGUGCUCCGCCUGGGGAGUAUGGUCGCAAGGCUG